AAUGAACGCUGGCGGCAGGCCUAACACAUGCAAGUCGAACGAGUGGCGGACGGUUGAGUACUGUCUGGACAACUGCCUGAUGGAGGGGGAUACAUACUGGAAACGGUAGCUAAUACCGCUUACCAUCGGAUGUGCCCAGAUGGGAUUAGCUAGUAGGGGGGGUAAAGGCUCACCUAGGCGACGAGCCCGAGCUGGUCUGCGAGGAGGACCAGCCACACUGGAACUGAGACACGGCCCAGCCUCCUACGGGAGGCAGCAGUGGGGAAUAUGGCACAAUGGGCGCAAGCCUGAUGCAGCCAGGCGGCGUGUAUGAAGAAGGCCUUCGGGUUGUAAAGUACUUUCAGCGGGGAGGCGUUACCCGCAGAAGAAGCACCGGCUAACUCCGUGCCAGCAGCCGCGGUAAUUC
rnacentral:rRNA from 1 species